rnacentral:rRNA from 1 species
GAUGAACGCUAGCGACAGGCCUAACACAUGCAAGUCGAGGGGCAGCACAUGAGUAGCAAUACGAUGGUGGCGACCGGCGCACGGGUGAGUAACACGUAUGCAACCUACCUGUAAGAGGGGAAUAACCCGGAGAAAUUCGGACUAAUACCGCAUAAUACCGCUGAACUGCAUGGUUUAGUGGUUAAACAUUUAUGGCUUACAGAUGGGCAUGCGUAUGAUAAGCUAGUUGGUGAGGUAACGGCUCACCAAGGCAACGAUCAUUAGGGGUUCUGAGAGGAAGGUCCCCCACACUGGUACUGAGACACGGACCAGACUCCUACGGGAGGCAGCAGUGAGGAAUAUUGGUCAAUGGGCGAGAGCCUGAACCAGCCAAGUCGCGUGAAGGAAGAAGGUUCUAUGGAUUGUAAACUUCUUUUGUAAGGGAAUAAAAAAGAGUACGUGUACUCUAUUGUAUGUACUUUACGAAUAAGGAUCGGUUAACUCCGUGCCAGCCGCCGCAGUAAUAC